rnacentral:lncRNA from 1 species
UUGGUGAAAAUUUUCACCAUGUGGAUGAUCAUUGAUCUAUCAAACAAUCAGUUUGAAGGGGGUAUUCCAAAGGUUAUUGGGAAGCUUAACUUACUGAAAGGGCUCAACCUUUCUCAUAAUAACCUUAAUGGUGGUAUCCCCACCUCAAUGGAGAAUUUGACAAAUCUUGAAUGGUUGGACCUAUCUUCAAACACGUUGUCUGGGACGAUUCCAAAUAGAUUGGCAGAUCUGCCAUUUCUUUCGUCCUUCAAUGUUUCUGAAAAUCAACUCCAUGGUCAGAUUCCUCAAGGCAAACAGUUCAACACAUUUGGAAAUGAUUCAUAUGAAGGAAACAAGGGAUUAUGUGGAUUUCCAGUCUCGAAAGGUUGCAACAUCAUUGAGCCACCACCUCCAAAUGUGCUUGAAAAAGAUGGCUCAAAAUCAAACAUUACUUUUGGUUGGAAAGUGGUGUUGAUAGGUUACGGAUGCGGAGUGGUGUUCGGAAUGUCCGUGGGAUAUGUUGUUUUCCAAACUGGUAAGCCGAAAUGGUUGGUGAAUUUGGUUGAAAUCCAACAUGAGAAGAAGCGAAGAAGAAAGUCAAAGGAUGGCAGUCGCAGCAAUGGACGAAGAAGGAUCUAGUUAGUGGAAAUGGUGUUCAAGUGUUGAUGUUGUAUCUUCAUAAUUUCUUGUUUUGAAGUCUUUCAAUUUUUUUCCUAUGGUGAAAGGUUGCAUUGCCAUGCAUCUGUCUUUAUUAUUGGUACUAUUUGUAAGGGUUUGUUUUAAAUGUAACAUUUUAUAUGGUUCAACUAUUUAUGUCUUCUUUCAUGAGUUUCAUUUUUGAGUCUCAAUAAUCUCUGCAUUCAAGAUUUUGUCAGCUUAUUAAUUGGUGGAUCAAUAAUCUUCAUGCUCAUCUCAUCAUCUUUUUCUCGAGUUUCUUCUGUGUGGAAAAUAAUUUGGCAUUCUGCAAAUCUCCACAAUGCUUGUGGAUUACCUUUGGUUGACAGCUAUACAUAUAAAGGAAGGAAACAAGACCAUGUCCAAAUUUCCAAAAAUUAGCCAUUGAUUUUUGAACAGUUAAACUUUCGUAUUCUAUUUUUUAAAAUUGUAAAUUCUCAAAUAAUGUAAAUUAGUCCUAAAACUCAAGUUUUGAAAUCUUUACAAUUUAACCCCUUAUAGUUUCAAACUUUACUAUUUUAUGCUCAACUUUCUAAAUUUUCAUAUUUCAUGAUCAUAUAAUUUAGUUACUACAUCAAUAUUUGAGAUUUCACUACUCAAACCCUUACUUCAUUUUGGUCCUUACUUCAAUUUUAUCAAAUUAAAUCAUUUUUCAAUUUGAAUGCAUUGAUGCUAAAUUGAGGGACCACUAAACAAUGUUGAUGCGAGUUUAGGCAAAAUUGGUGGAUCCGAUCUCCUUAGUAAUUUCUUUGUGGAAGUACCUGCUUUCACAAUGCAAACUUGGAUAGUUUGUGGUGGACGAUGAUGAAUCAUUUCAUAGUCAAACACAUAAUUUUUAAACACAAAAUUAACGAUAUAUUGAAAUCAUUAUUGAAAUUAUAAUCAAAAUUAAUACAUGUUCUUUUUAUUAGCUUAAGGGCGUAAAAACCCUUCAAAAUUUUCAAAAAAAACUAAAUUUAAGUCCUGUUUUUUCUACUCAAUUGAGCCCUUAAACUUUUAAAAUGUAUCAAAAAUAUCUUUACACUUCUUCAAAAAAAGCAAUUAAACCCCUUUUUUUUCCCGCUCAAUUGGGUACUUGAACUUUCAUAAUGCAUAAAAAAAACCUUAAAAUUUUUUUCAAAGAAACAAUUAAGCCUCUAUUUUUUUCCCACUCAAUUGGGUACUUGAACUUUCAUAAUGCAUCAAAAAGGCCUUAAUUUUUUUUCAAAAAAGCAAUUAAGCCCUACUCUUAUUAAAAAUUAGAAAAAAAUCAUAAAAAUAAUAAAUUUUAGAAAAAAAUAUUAAAUUUUAAUAAAAUUUAAAAACUUAUUAAUAAUUUGAAUUUUUUUUAGAAAAAUAGUCAAAAAAUAAAAAUUUAUAAAAAAAUAAAAUCCAUCAAAAGUCCUUUUAAUAAUUUACUUUAACUAUUGAUCGUUAAAGUUAACGACGUCUAGUUUUUUCAAUUAAAGUUAUUAUGUGUCGCAACACAGCUUGAUAUGUAGCGAAAACAGAUAAAAAAUUAAAAAUCAAUAAAAGUUAUAGGAAAAUUAUAAAAUAUUUCUUUUGGUACAAUAAUUUUUAUAAAUUUUUUUACAAAAUUUAUAUUUCUUUACAUUUUGUAUAAUUUUCUUAUGACUGUAUAAAAUUUUAUAAUUUUUUAUAUUUCAAUAUAUUUUAAAUUUUUUUAAAAUUUUUAAAAUUUUUAAAAUUUUUAAUAAAUUUUUAAUAUUUGAUUUUUUAUUAAAAUUUAAUAAUAUUAUAGAUUUUAUUGAUUUUAAUUUUUUUCUAAUUUUUAAUAAAAGUAGGGGCUUAAUUGCUUUUUUUUUUAAAGUUUGAGGGUCUUUUUGAUGCAUUUUGAAAGUUUAAGUACCCAAUUGAGUGCCAAAAAAUAAAGUAGGGGCCUAAUUGCUUUUUUUGAAAAUGUUUGAGGGCCUUUUUGAUGUAUUUUGAAAGUUCAAGUACCCAAAUGAGUGCAUAAAAAGAACAGGGGUUUAGUUGCUAUUUUUGAAAAAGUUUUUACCCUUAAACCUCUUUUCUUUUUCUAAAUUUAAUUUAGAGCCAACUUUGAGUAAAGACUUGGAAAUUUAAUUAGCAAAAUUUCUUUCCAUGUAAAAAUUUCCCCUAUUUCUUGUUUGAAUUUAAAGCAAUACAAUAUUUUUCUAGCAAAUAAUAGAAAAUGACAGUCAAUUCGUUCCAAGCAAUACAAAAUUUCCAGUCUGGUGGAAAAUCUAUUAAUAUAUACACACUUAGGGACCAUAUAUAUAUAUAUUCCAGUCUGGGUCUUUGUCGUGUUUUGUUGGUUGGCUAUGGUCUUGUUGUUGUUGUUUCCACUGCCUGUGGUCUUUGUUUCUAAGUCAUAUGUGGCCUUGUUUGCUAGACCUUAGUUGCUAAGUUAAAGGGAGUGAAUAGAGCACCAUUUUCUUCUUCUGCGUGGAAAAUAAGUUGGCAUUAUGCCAAAUUCCACAUUCAUACAUAUAAAGGAAGCAAGAGCAAGUCAAUAUACUUUGUAAUCUCAUCCAUUCUUCUUCUUUCUUUAGGGAGUUCAAAUGAAAUACUAAUUUUUGGUAAAUCAACUCUUCAUUUUUAUGGAUAAAAAUUAUAUGGUAAAAAGGAAGUGGUGUUAAUAAUAAUAAUAAAAGAUUAACAAUAGAACACUAAUAAAGCAAUGUAGUCUAUGAUCUGCACAAUAUAUUACUACAAAUGUACCGUACAGAAUAUUGAAAGAAAACUAAUAAAGAAGUUCGAAAUUUAAACAAUGUUCCGCAAAUUAUGUUUAUGAUCUGCUGUAAAUUGAUAUGUUAAAUUAGGCUCUCCAUCACACUUAAAAGCUUAUUUUCAAGGAAUUUAGAUAUCUUUGUUGUUUUUUUAUUUAGUUUUUGUUCUUUAUAUUAAUAAAUGAUUAGUGUGCAUUUUGAUACUAUUUUGAGACCUGAGAUGGCCAAAGGGCACCCGGGGAAUCUGAUGAGGCUCGUGAGUGAUGCAGAGAGCCCAUGGUGGCUCAGAAGGAGCGAAAAUGUCACCUAGAAAGAGGAUAUCGCAUAUCAAAGCAUGAAAGUCGUAAUACCCAUAACAANNNNNNNNNNNNNNNNNNNNNNNNNNNNNNNNNNNNNNNNNNNNNNNNNNNNNNNNNNNNNNNNNNNNNNNNNNNNNNNNNNNNNNNNNNNNNNNNNNNNAUUGAGCCAUCAACAGUGUUAUCGUGAUACUGGUUAUAAGGUAUCGCGAUACCCAAAACUCCCAAGGAUCCCCAAGACUGUUGUAGAUAUCAUGAUACCAAACUUUGGGUAUCACAAUACCAUUGAUGAGAGGAGACAAAAUAUAACUGUAGGGUUAAUCCUUUUCCAACAUGUCCCCUAACCAAAAUUAGACGAUCAAGGACAAUUUGAUCACUGUUUUCAGAUCUGUAAUUUGCUAGAAAGGGGAAAAAAAUGGCUGAACAAAAGGCACACUUAACAUUUCAUGGUUUUCAAUUUUUCUCUUUAUUUGAAAACAAAUGGAAUUUAUUUUGAAAAUUUUUAAGAUUUUUUUAAAUAAUAAAAAUUUGCAUUAGUUUAAAAAAUUUUAGUUUUAAUUUUAGGAUAUCUUUAGAUUUAUACAUAUUUAAUUAUUUUUAUAUUUUUUAGAUUUAAAUGAAGUUGCAUAUGUAUGCACAUUAGCAAAGUUAAUUGAUAUUAAUUUUUUCAUCUGAUAAACAAUGUAAGUUUAAGGGUUAUUUGAUAAAUAAUGUAGGUUUAAGGGUUAAAAAAGAUGAAAAAUUAAAUUAAGGGCUAAAAUAACUUUUUUUUCAUUAUAAAGCUAAGAGUGAAAUGAGUUUUUGGGAAAAUUAUUCAACAUACAUGCCUUCAAUUUUAUGCAAUAAAAUAAAUGAAUAUAGGCCACACAUGCUUUGAAUUUUUAAGUAGUGCACAAUUUUGUUCUUUUGUGUGCAAAUUUCUACAUUGCUUGACAGCCAUUCAUACUAAGGGUACAUUUGGUUCAGUGUAAUAGAAUAGAGUUGUAAUCGGUAAUUCAAUUGUUUGUUUGAAUGGAACGGAAUAGAACUGUAAUAGUAUUCUUGUGUUUGGUUGAAUGGAAUGAUGUUGUAACAGCAUAAGGAAAAAAACUAAAAUGACUAGAAUACUUUUAGCAGAUUUUUUUUAGGUAGAUGAUUAUUGUUAUUAAAUUCUAAUAAGAUUAUUAUUAAAAAUAAUUUAAUAAAAAUAAUAAAUAAUUUAACCAUAUUUGAAAAUAAUUAUUAUUAAAUAUAAUUUAAUAAAAUUCUUAACAUAAUUACUAUUAUAUGAAUUUACUAAAAUCAUAUUAUAUAAUACUAUAAAAAUAAUAUAUAAUCUACAUUAUUAUUUUUAAACUGCAAUACAUAGUUAAUGUGUUAAAAUAUCAUUAGUGAAACAAAUAAUUUAAUUAUUCUACAAUGAAAUAUUAGAUAUUAGAAGUGAUAAAUAACUUAAGUAUAGUCAAUCUGUAGCAGUCUCCUUCCUCUUUAUUCUUUUGUCUGGAAAAGUAUUUGGGGCCAAUCUUGACGUGUUAUAAGGAAUAAGACUUUGUAAUCUCAUGAAUGUUAAUAAUUUUACCUCUUUGGUAAAAAAAAAAGUAAUCAAUUUUAUGAAUGAAAAAUAUAUGGUAAAAAGAAGUAGUUGUUGAUCACGAACAACAUGAUGAUUGUGGAAAUACAAAAAUUCCAAUAUAUGUGUCGAAUUCUGCAUAAUGUAAAUGUCCCGCAUUGCAUGUGAAUUCUGCAAUAGACCAAACUUUACUUGUUGUAACCCUUUAAACUGAGUUAAUGAAAAGUAAUCUUUCUUAUCAAAAUUAGUUAUACUCUUAAUUUAUAACAAAGGAAAGAGUAAUUUGAGUUUAACUCAAAGGUUAAUAUGUCACCAAUGGGCGAUAGCGUGGCACUACCAUGUCGGUGAUUAUUGAUCAUAUGGCAUUGUCACGUCAACAAACAGUGUUAGUCUUUUUCAUCAUUUUUUUUGGGUGAUUUAAAAGAGAUAAAAAAAAAUGAAAAGUUAAAAUGACUUUUUGUUUGUAAAGUUAAAAAAUGACAAAUAAAUCAUUAUGUCUUUUUAGUUUUAAUUUUUUACUCGAUUAAAAGAGAAAUAAUUAGCGAAUGAAAAAUAGCAAUUCCAAAGAAAUUUAUCAGAAUUUAUAACAAAUGAGAUUUUAGAUUUGAAUUAUGAGGUUAUAUAAGUAUACACAUUUUUUAUGGAAUCAGUGGAUUAAAUUUCCCAGCAAUCUUCUUCCUCAAACUUAAUGAAUAGAGCACAAUUUUGUUCUUUUGGGUGGAAAAGAAUUUCCACAUUAAUUAGCUUUGGUUGAUAGGCAAGUGAAUACAUACACACAUUCUUUACGUGUUAUAGAGAAGAACGCUAAAUCAAUCUACUUUGUAAUCUCAUUAAUCUUAAAUUUUUUAGUUGUUUAGGGAGACCAAAUUAUAUACAAGAUUUUGCGAAAAGAAAGCAUCCAAUUUUAAGAAUGAAAAAUAUAUGGUAAAAAGAAGACUAAGUGGUUGUUGAUGAUUGUGAAAAGUACAAAAAUUUUGAAAAUCUAAUAUCCAUAGCUUCUCAAUGUAAAAGAAAAAAAGACUGUAACACUGCGGUAUUAUUUGUUGCCUAUAAAUACCAUUCCUAUCCUUCAUCUUCCUCUACAGACAUAACAUGGCCCCCUAUCUCUUCCUCUGCCUAUUCCUCUUCUUUCCCCAUCUUUAUGCUUCUUUUUCUUCUUCUGGAUCUCACUCCUGCUCUUCACUAAUCCAGUUUAAGGACUCUUUUUCCAUAACAGAGGAUGCUUCUUCUUAUUGCAAUGGGAUUGCUGGCCUUAAAUCUUAUCCCAAGACAAAUUCAUGGAAGGAGGGUACAGAUUGCUGCUCAUGGGAUGGGGUCACUUGUGACCACCUAAAUGCUCAUGUUAUUGCCCUUGACUUGAGCUGCAGUUGGCUAUAUGGCAACUUCCCUUCCAAUUCCACUCUCUUCCUUCUUCCUCACCUUCAAAAACUCAACCUUGCCUACAAUGAGUUUAAUCUUUCCGAAAUUCCAUCCGAGUUAGGUCGGUUUACAAGCCUACUCUACCUCGACCUUUCCAGUACAGGGUUUGUAGGAGACAAACAUGCUCUGGAGGGACUUGUUCAAAACCUAACCGAGGUCAGACAUCUGUUUUUGGAUGGAAUGGAGAUGGCUUCUGUUAAUGCUCAUGUCUUCAUGAAUCUAUCCUCUUCUCUAAGGUCUCUCAGUCUUGCUGGUUGUGAUUUGCAAGGAAAAUUCCCAAAAAACAUUUUUGAUUUGCCAAACCUCAAUCUCCUCAACUUGGGAGACAACCAAAACCUCAAUCUUGAUCCUUUGAAGUUGAAUCGGAGCAGCAAUCUUGAACAUUUGGAUCUGUCAUGGACGUCCUUCUCUACAGAAUUCAUUGAUUCAGUUGAUAAUCUACAGGCCUUAAAGUACUUAGAUCUAUCAGGAAAUUCUUUCUUUCAAGGACUGUCUGUCUCAAUCACAAAUUUAUCAUGUUUGGAGCAAUUGAUAAUUUCAGGCGCAAAUUUUUUUGGAGGAUUGCCAGACUCGGUGGGUAAUCUUGUGUCCUUGAAGUUUUUAGAUCUCUCCUAUUCCAACUUAUCAGGACCGGUUCCAAAAUCACUGGGGAAUCUCUUGCAACUCACUCAUUUAGACUUAUCCGGGAACCAGUUGAGUGGACAAAUUCCAAGAUCAUUGGGGAACCUCUUGCAACUCACUUAUUUAGGCUUGUGGCAAAACCAAUUGAGUGGACAAAUUCCAAGAUCAUUGGGGAACCUCUUGCAACUCACUUAUUUAGGCUUGUGGCAGAACCAAUUGAAUGGACAAAUUCCAUUGUCAAUUCUAAACCUAACGCAGCUGGAAUACUUGAGAAUAGCUGGAAAUGCAUUAAAAGGUUCUAUUCCAGAUGAGGUAACCGCUUUUCCUAAUCUAAUAUCUUUAGACUUAACUAACAAUUUACUCAGUGGAGCACUUCCAUCAUGGUUGUAUACUUCUCCCUCCUUAAAGGAUAUGAAACUCUCUCAAAAUCAAUUCAGUGGGCAUAUCAAGGACUUCCAAUCCAAAUCACUAGAAUUGAUAGAGUUAGAGAAUAAUAAACUCCAAGGUCCUCUUCCAUCUUCAAUAUUCCAAUUUCUCAAUCUUACCAAGCUCAAUUUAUCCUCAAAUAAUCUUACUGGUGUCAUAGCGUUUAGCAUGUUCUCAAACCUUCCAAAUCUCGAAUAUCUUGACCUUUCAUAUAACAGCCUAUCCUUAACAUCUAAUACUACUUCUUCUGUUAAUCUUACAAGCUUAUUUUUGUCAUCUUGCAAUCUUAGUGAAUUCCCCCAAUUUUUAAAAGGGCUUAAAAGUUUGAAAAGCUUGGACCUCUCUCACAACAGAAUUGAAGGCAAGAUUCCACGGUGGAUGCAAGAGGUGGGGAAUGACUCUUUGACUUACUUAAACGUAUCUCACAACUCUUUGACAGAAGUUGAGCACUUUCCAUGGAAGAAUAUUGAAGUUCUUGACUUAAGCUCCAAUUUGAUCAGUGGAAAUCUUCCGAUUCCAGCUUCGACCAUCAAUGUCUUUUUGAUCUCUAAUAAUAGCUUCAAUGGAGAGGUCUCUUCUUUAAUAUGCAAUGCCGCUUUUCUUGAAAUUCUUGAUUUGUCCCACAAUAACUUGAGUGGAACAAUUCCACAAUGUUUUGGAAAUUUGGGCAACAGCCUUCUAUUCUUGAAUCUGAAGAAGAACAAGUUCUAUGGGACGAUUCCUCCAACAUUUGCAAUGGGAUGCCAAUUGAGUAAUUUCAACUUAAAUGGAAAUCUGUUAGAAGGGCCUUUGACACCAUCCAUCCUUAAUUGUAAUGAUCUGGAAGUGCUAGAUCUUGGUAACAACAAGAUCAAUGAUACAUUUCCUCAUUGGUUGGGAAGUCUUCCACAGCUACAAGUUCUUGUUUUGAAGUCAAAUCAUAUGCAUGGUUCCUUGCGUAUCAAUAGCUCCAAGUCUAUCCCUUUUUUCUCAAAAAUCCAAAUUUUUGAUCUCUCAAGUAAUUAUUUUUCUGGACCCCUACCAGUGAGAUACAUCAACAGCUUCAAGGCUAUCAUAAAUCUAGAGAAGAUUGGUAGUACAGUGUCGUACAUGGGGGUGAAUGAUGAUGGAGGUGACUUCUAUACCUAUUCCAUUGGAAUUGUUAUGAAAGGACAAGAUAGGGAAUUGGUGAAAAUUUUCACCAUGUGGAUGAUCAUUGAUCUAUCAAACAAUCAGUUUGAAGGGGGAAUUCCAAAGGUUAUUGGGAAGCUUAACUUACUGAAAGGGCUCAACAUUUCUCAUAAUAACCUUAAUGGUAAUAUCCCCACCUCAAUAGGGGAUUUGACAAGUCUUGAAUGGUUGGACCUAUGUUCAAACAGGUUGUCUGGGACGAUUCCAA